AUUGAACGCUGGCAGCAGGCUUAACACAUGCAAGUCGAGCGGGGGAAGGUAGCUUGCUACCGGUCCUAGCGGCGGACGGGUGAGUAAUGCUUAGGAAUCUGCCUAUUAGUGGGGGACAACAUCUCGAAAGGGAUGCUAAUACCGCAUACGUCCUACGGGAGAAAGCAGGGGAUCUUCGGACCUUGCGCUAAUAGAUGAGCCUAAGUCGGAUUAGCUAGUUGGUGGGGUAGAGGCCUACCAAGGCGACGAUCUGUAGUGGGUCUGAGAGGAUGAUCCGCCACACUGGGACUGAGACACGGCCCAGACUCCUACGGGAGGCAGCAGUGGGGAAUAUUGGACAAUGGGGGGAACCCUGAUCCAGCCAUGCCGCGUGUGUGAAGAAGGCCUUAUGGUUGUAAAGCACUUUAAGCGAGGAGGAGGCUCUUUUGGUUAAUACCCAAGAUGAGUGGACGUUACUCGCAGAAUAAGCACCAGCUAACUCUGUGCCAGCCGCUGCGGUAA
rnacentral:rRNA from 1 species